rnacentral:miRNA from 1 species
CAGCAGACACAUUCCAGCCAAUCAGCAGCAGACCCUGCCUCCCAGACCCUACCACCUCCUGGACAGCAUCCAUUUUACAUUCAUUGUGAACUUGCAUUCUUAGUGAGCUGUCCAGGAGGUGGGAGGGUCUGGGAGGGAGGGUCUGCUGCUGAUUGGCUGGAAUGUGUCUCCUG